rnacentral:rRNA from 1 species
GGAGAAGUAAAUAAGAGCGUACGGGGGAUGCCUAGGCUCUCAGAGGCGAAGAAGGACGUGAUAAGCUGCGAUAAGCUGUGGAAAUUGGCACAUACGAGUUAUACCCGCAGAUUUCCGAAUGAGACAACUCAGCUAGUUGAAGACUAGUUAUCCGCAAGGAGGCCAACCCGGGGAACUGAAACAUCUAAGUACCCGGAGGAAAAGAAAAUAAUAAUGAUUCCGCAAGUAGUGGCGAGCGAACGCGGAACAGCCCAAACCAAAGACGUUACGGCGUGUCUGGGGUUGUAGGACUACAAUGUGGACUUAUAAAAUGAACUUGAAUUAACUGGAAAGUUAAGCCAUAGAGAGUGAAAGCCUCGUAAGGGCAAGUUUUAUAUACCUAGUAGUAUCCUGAGUAGGUGGGAGCCGGUGAAACUCCCAUUGAAACUGCCAGCACCAUCUGGUAAGGCUAAAUACU